rnacentral:lncRNA from 1 species
GUAAGGAUUCUGAUGGGGCUUAAGAUGAGUCUGUAGAUCAACUUGUCAAGUAUUGCUAUCUUAACAAUAUUAAGUAUCAACCCAUGAACACACAUUAUCUUACCACUUAGUCUUCUUUAAAUCUUUCAAUGUUUUAUACUUAGCAUGUACAUGUCCUACAUUUCUUCUGUUAAAUUUAUCCUAAGAAUUUUAUACUUUUUUGUGUUUUGUAAAUACAAUUGUUUAAUGCUGAUAUA